UGAUGGUGGGUCUGCAGUUGAAUGGAAAUAGGGAUAAGUGGGAUUGGGAACCUGAAGCAUCUGGGUCGUUUUCAGUCAGCUCGUGUAGGAAAUUGUUGUGCGUUGGAGGGGUCCCCUAUUAUCCUUUUGAGUGGGUGAAAUGGGUCCCUAAAAAGAUAAAUAUAUUUGGGUGGCGAGCGGAGAAAAACCGGUUGCCUACGCUAGCGGAACUGUAGAAAAGAAACAUAUACCGGGGUUUUAUUAUGUGCAGGUUGUGCAACGAGUUUGAAGAAACCUCAGAGCAGUUGUUCACUUCCUGUUAAUGAAUAUAUAUUUUCUAACAAUUUUGCUGUAUUUGUGGCUAACAUUUGAUUGGUUGUAGAUCUUCGUGGGAGGGUUGACCCAACAGUUAGUGACGAGGACCUUAAGCAGCCUUUCUCUGAGUACGGUGUAGUUUCAGUUAAAAUACCCAUCGGUAAAGGAUGCGGCUUUGUACAAUUUGCCAACAGAAAUAAUGCUGAAGAGGCACUGCAUUAAAUGGCACCACGAUUGGCACGCAGAUUGUGCGGCUUUAUUGGGGACGUACCCCAACAAAUAAAAAGGAGGAAGAUAUAUAAUUACAUAUCAACUAAAGACGUGUGGCUACCACAAGCUUCAACCUAUUGGCCAUGGUGGACUUGGAGAUGUCGCUAUAUGCAAGAAUAGGUUGGAUGGAAGACAAUAUGAUGUUAAGAAAAUUCAAUUAAAGGGCAGAAGUCAUCCUUCAGAUGAUAAAAUCAAGUAUUUAGUUGGAAUUGCUAACAACCCCGCUUUUCUAGUUCUGUACCCGUCCGGUGGACGGGAAUAUUAAUGGUAUAAUGACAUAAGUUAUACCAUGAUUAUGUUUUAACCUCUCUUCUAGUUUUGUUUUGUUUGUUUUAGUAUUUAAAUUUCUAUAACUAGUACUUUUAUUUGGUUGUUUGUUAGAUUAAUGUUUAUUAGUUUAAUUAAGAAUCUUAAUUU